GGUUUAAUUCGAUGCAAACCGAAGAACCUUACCUGGGUUUGACAUGUACGUGGUACGGAUCUGAAAGGUGAAGGACCCGGUCUUCGGACUGGGAGCGUACACAGGUGCUGCAUGGUUGUCGUCAGCUCGUGCCGUGAGGUGUCGGGUUAAGUCCCAUAACGAGCGCAACCCCUACUGCUAGUUGCCAGCGGGUCAUGCCGGGGACUCUAGCGGAACUGCCAGCGUAAGCUGCGAGGAAGGUGGGGAUGACGUCAAAUCAGCACGGCCCUUACGUCCAGGGCUACACACGUGUUACAAUGGCCAGUACAGAGGGCAGCCACCCCGCGAGGGGGCGCUAAUCCUAAAAGCUGGUCCCAGUUCGGAUCGGAGUCUGCAACCCGACUCCGUGAAGCUGGAUUCGCUAGUAAUCGCGCAUCAGCCAUGGCGCGGUGAAUACGUUCCCGGGCCUU
rnacentral:rRNA from 1 species